rnacentral:lncRNA from 1 species
AUGAAAACCGUGCAUCCAUGUGCCCUUGGUUUCUGAAGCCCAGGAUGGGAUCCAGGCUGAUGACAAAGUUGAGCUCCUGUCCAGUGAAGCACUUAAUUGCCUGCUUAACUUUAAGAUGUGAAUAAUGUCACCCGAGAGUGACCCACUAAAAGGAAGAGGAAAAAAGAAAAGAAGAAACUAAGAAGCUUUACAGUACAAGAGGAUGUCUUCAGUCUUCAAACUGGUUUGUCCAGAUCAACAUAUAUUCACUGUUUGACCAUACAAUUACAGCUGAAGUCUCAAGAUGGAGGGAUGAAACUAUGUGAAGGUGGGAAGAAGACUGAACUACUACUUUUUGUAGAAAUAUCAGCUUUACUGGCUUAAAGGUAUACAAAACUGUAGCCUGAAGCUGUAUCUUCACUGCUAAAAGAUGUGCACUGUUGUAUCAAGACAAAAAAUAGAUCAAUAGCCUACAAUAUAGAAAAGCAUACAAACAUUUUGCCUUUGUAUAACUAACUAGUCAAUGUCAACAAAUUACACUCUGAGUUGAGACUUACCUAAAGUUGCUAAUAUGACCAGAAAGUAGUGUUUCAUUUCCACUACCAUGUUUACUUAGUGGCUUUCUAAAAGGAUGUACACUCAAUAAUUGGUUUAGCUUAAUGAGAUAAUUCAGCUGAUUUUACUUUAUGGAAAAAUAGCUGGAUUUUCCUGUUGAUUCCUGAGGGCUAUAGAAAGCUGUCCUGAAAUUUUCUGGUAAAUACUUUUCAUUACAAUUCUAAUCCUGGGUUUUAGCUUUACUUUUUAAAACAUAUUGACGGAUUUCUGACUUUGCUACUUUCCAGACAAAAUUGUGAAACUAUCAAAGUCUCCUACUACUGUUUAAAUAAGUUUAUUAGUUUUAAAUAUUAAGCCUAAUGUCAGCAAAAACAAAAGAAAAUGAGAAAACGUGAACUAGGAGUGAAAUAUGAAAACAUUGACCUGAGCAGAAUUUGGGGAAGUAAGGAAGAAUGAUUUUCAGUUAAUAGUUUCAAGAUACUACUUUUUGUCAUCAAAU